ensembl:misc_RNA Metazoa_SRP Metazoan signal recognition particle RNA
GCUGGGCGUGGUGGUGCACGCCUGUAAUCCCAGCUACUUGGGAGGCUGAGGCAGGAGAAUCAUUUGAAUUCGGGAGGUGGAGGUUGCAGUGAGCUGAGAUCGUGCCACUGCACUCCAGCCUGGGCAACAGAGCGAGACUCUGUCUCAA